rnacentral:rRNA from 1 species
GCAAGUCGAACGGAAACAUGUCUAGCUUGCUAGAUGAUGUCGAGUGGCGGACGGGUGAGUAAUGCCUGGGAAUUUGCCUUUGCGAGGGGGAUAACCAUUGGAAACGAUGGCUAAUACCGCAUAAUACCUACGGGUCAAAGGGGGGACUUGUUCCUCGCGCGCAAAGAGGAGCCCAGGUGAGAUUAGCUAGUUGGUGGGGUAAAGGCUCACCAAGGCGACGAUCUCUAGCUGUUCUGAGAGGAAGAUC